rnacentral:rRNA from 1 species
AACGAACGCUGGCGGCAGGCUUAACACAUGCAAGUCGAACGGUUGUAGCAAUACAGCAGUGGCGCACGGGUGAGUAACGCGUGGAUAUCUGCCUUUUGGUUCGGAAUAACUCCGGGAAACUGGAGCUAAUACCGGAUGGUUCCUACGGGAUAAAGAUUUAUCGCCAAAAGAUGAGUCCGCGUACGAUUAGCUAGUUGGCGGGGUAAUGGCCCACCAAGGCGACGAUCGUUAGCUGGGCUGAGAGGACGAUCAGCCACACUGUGACUGAGACACGGCCAAGACUCCUACAGUAUGCUGCAGUGGGCAAGAUUGUACAAUAGUGGCAACCCUGAUCCAGCGAUGCCGCGAGAGUGAUGAAGGCCUUCGGGUUGUAAAGCUCUUUUGGCGGGGACGAUGAUGACGGUACCCGCAGAAUAAGCCCCGGCUAACUUCGUGCCAGCCGCCGCAGUAAAAC